rnacentral:rRNA from 1 species
UACCAGACUCCUACGGGAGGCAGCAGUGGGGGAUAUUGCACAAUGGGGGAAACCCUGAUGCAGCGACGCCGCGUGGGCGAAGAAGUAUUUCGGUAUGUAAAGCCCUAUCAGCAGGGAAGAAGAAAUGACGGUACCUGAGUAAGAAGCACCGGCUAAAUACGUGCCAGCAGCCGCGGUAAUACGUAGGGAGCAAGCGUUGUUCGGAAUGACUGGGCGUAAAGGGUGCGUAGGCGGUUGUACAAGUUAGAAGUGAAAUACCCAGGGCUUAACUCGGGUGCUUCUUCUAAAACUGUAUGACUUGGGUGCAGUAGAGGUUAGUGGAAUUCCUAGUGUAGCGGUGGAAUGCGUAGAUAUUAGGAGGAACACCAGUGGCGAAGGCGGCCUGCUGGACGACAACUGACGGUGAGGCGCGAAAGCGUGGGGAGCAAACAGGAUUAGAUACCCCGGUACU